AUUGAACGCUGGCGGCAGGCCUAACACAUGCAAGUCGAGCGGCAGCGGGAAAGUAGCUUGCUACUUUUGCCGGCGAGCGGCGGACGGGUGAGUAAUGCCUGGGGAUCUGCCCAAUCGAGGGGGAUAACUACUGGAAACGGUAGCUAAUACCGCAUACGCCCUACGGGGGAAAGCAGGGGACCUUCGGGCCUUGCGCGAUUGGAUGAACCCAGGUGGGAUUAGCUAGUUGGUGAGGUAAUGGCUCACCAAGGCGACGAUCCCUAGCUGGUCUGAGAGGAUGAUCAGCCACACUGGAACUGAGACACGGUCCAGACUCCUACGGGAGGCAGCAGUGGGGAAUAUUGCGCAAUGGGGGAAACCCUGAUGCAGCCAUGCCGCGUGUGUGAAGAAGGCCUUCGGGUUGUAAAGCACUUUCAGCGAGGAGGAAAGGUUGGUAGCUAAUAACUGCCAGCUGUGACGUUACUCGCAGAAGAAGCACCGGCUAACUCCGUGCCAGCCGCCGCCGUAA
rnacentral:rRNA from 1 species